rnacentral:rRNA from 1 species
GACGAACGCUGGCGGCGUGCUUAACACAUGCAAGUCGAACGGUGAAGCACCAGCUUGCUGGAGUGGAUCAGUGGCGAACGGGUGAGUAACACGUGAGCAACCUGCCCCUGACUCUGGAAUAAGCGCUGGAAACGGCGUCUAAUACUGGAUACGAGAAGGGUCCGCAUGGGCACUUUCUGGAAAGUUUUUCGGUUGGGGAUGGGCUCGCGGCCUAUCAGCUUGUUGGUGAGGUAAUGGCUCACCAAGGCGACGACGGGUAGCCGGCCUGAGAGGGCGACCGGCCACACUGGGACUGAGACACGGCCCAGACUCCUACGGGAGGCAGCAGUGGGGAAUAUUGCACAAUGGGCGAAAGCCUGAUGCAGCGACGCCGCGUGAGGGAUGACGGCCUUCGGGUUGUAAACCUCUUUCAGCAGGGAAGAAGCGAAAGUGACGGUACCUGCAGAAGAAGCACCGGCUAACUACGUG